UACAGAGGUCCCAAGCGUUGUUCGGAUUCACUGGGCGUAAAGGGUGCGUAGGCGGGUCUUUAAGUCAGGGGUGAAAUCCUGGAGCUCAACUCCAGAACUGCCUUUGAUACUGAGGAUCUUGAGUUCGGGAGAGGUGAGUGGAACUGCGAGUGUAGAGGUGAAAUUCGUAGAUAUUCGCAAGAACACCAGUGGCGAAGGCGGCUCACUGGCCCGAUACUGACGCUGAGGAGCGAAAGCGUGGGGAGCGAACAGG
rnacentral:rRNA from 1 species